CUGCCCGGUAGUGGGGGAUAACCUGAGGAAACUCAGGCUAAUACCGCAUACGUCCUACGGGAGAAAGCAGGGGAUCUUCGGACCUUGCGCUAUCGGAUGAGCCUAUGUCGGAUUAGCUAGUUGGUGAGGUAAUGGCUCACCAAGGCUGCGAUCCGUAGCUGGUCUGAGAGGAUGAUCAGCCACAUCGGGACUGAGACACGGCCCGAACUCCUACGGGAGGCAGCAGUGGGGAAUAUUGGACAAUGGGCGAAAGCCUGAUCCAGCCAUGCCGCGUGUGUGAAGAAGGCCCUCGGGUUGUAAAGCACUUUCAGUGAGGAAGAACGCCUUCGGGUUAAUACCCCGGAGGGAAGACAUCACUCACAGAAGAAGCACCGGCUAACUCCGUGCCAGCAGCCGCGGUAAUACGGAGGGUGCGAGCGUUAAUCGGAAUUACUGGGCGUAAAGCGCGCGUAGGCGGCGUGAUAAGCCGGUUGUGAAAGCCCCGGGCUCAACCUGGGAACGGCAUCCGGAACUGUCAGGCUAGAGUGCAGGAGAGGAAGGUAGAAUUCCCGGUGUAGCGGUGAAAUGCGUAGAGAUCGGGAGGAAUACCAGUGGCGAAGGCGGCCUUCUGGACUGACACUGACGCUGAGGUGCGAAAGCGUGGGUAGCAAACAGGAUUAGAUACCCUGGUAGUCCACGCCGUAAACGAUGUCGACUAGCCG
rnacentral:rRNA from 1 species